AGAUAGGGUCAUUAGACAGCAAUGAAAUAAAUUUGGCAAAGAAAAUGGACCUGGCCAAAGUGCGAGUGAAUGGAAUCCACAAAUUCCUAUUUAUGAAGGCAAGAGUAUAACCAUUACAAAGUCAAGUUUGGAAAGGUAGGGUAUUAUAUCUUUCCAAGUUCAGGGUUGCUGGCUGGAAUGAUCACUUGCAGAUUUUCUAGUGAUGAUGGUCCUGAGUAUACCGCAGGCCACAGUACUUGCACACGGCAGGCUCCUCCCGAUCGAGGCAUAUGAACUCGAUUGGAUGUCCAAGGGCAGGAUUGCUGUCUCCCUCACAAGCAACGAUACGGCCUUCGACCUUGAUUGGUGGAACCUCGUUGAUCAACUCCAUCG
rnacentral:misc_RNA from 1 species